GACGAACGCUGGCGGCGUGCCUAAUGCAUGCAAGUCGCACGCAGAGGCUUCGGCUUCUGAGUGGCGCACGGCUGAGGAACACGUGGGAACCUGCCCUCCUGUGGGGGAUAACCCACCGAAAGGUGAGCUAAUCCCGCAUACGCCCUUCGGGGGAAAGCGGCAACGCGCAGGUGGAGGGGCCCGCGGCCCAUCAGGUAGUAGGCGGGGUAACGGCCCACCUAGCCACUGACGGGUAGCUGGUCUGUGAGGACAACCAGCCAGACUGGGACUGAGAUACGGCCCAGACUCCUACGGGAGGCAGCAGCAAGGAAUUUUCGGCAAUGGGGGCAACCCUGACCGAGCAACGCCGCGUGGAGGAUGACGGCCUUCGGGUUGUAAACUCCUUUUCGGGGGGAAGAUAACGACGGUACCCCCGGAAUCAGGCUCGGCUAACUCUGUGCCAGCCGCCGCAGUAACAC
rnacentral:rRNA from 1 species